rnacentral:rRNA from 1 species
CAGUAGCCACGGUAACACGGAGGGAGCUAGCGUUGUUCGGAAUUACUGGGCGUAAAGCGCACGUAGGCGGCUAUUCAAGUCAGGGGUGAAAGCCCGGGGCUCAACCCCGGAACUGCCUUUGAAACUAGAUAGCUUGAAUCUUGGAGAGGCGAGUGGAAUUCCGAGUGUAGAGGUGAAAUUCGUAGAUAUUCGGAAGAACACCAGUGGCGAAGGCGACUCGCUGGACAAGUAUUGACGCUGAGGUGCGAAAGCGUGGGGAGCAAACAGGAUUAGAUACCCCCGUAGUCCCUGUCUCUUAUAC